AAGUCAGCUUCUCCAUGUUAGCCUUUACCAACCCAUCCUACAAACACACACAUAAUCAAUAAUCACAACAGACGUGGAAUAAGCAAAGACUGCGAGUGGAUCCGCUCCUGGCUCGUAUCCUCGGACACCUGCUUAGGCUAUGACCUUGGAUAGGAAAAAAAUUUAACAACAGGACAUCAAGCUAUUAGUGGACCAAGGAUGCAAACUUUAAUAACUGAGGACAUAUACACAUGGCAGUGUGUGGGCUUGUGGACGGUCCUUCCUGUAGGUCAGAAAUCUGUCAAACACAGACAACCUUGAGGAAAAUCAUGCAACAUACAACACAUCGUCUGACAUUGGCUGCCAAUAUGCAGAGGGGAAAUCUGCAAUCCGAUUGGCCCACGCAUCUCAGCAGUGAUGAGUCACACGUGUCCUACUGAACAGCGUGACGGCAAAACAAUGAACUUCUGGAGGCAAGCAUGGUUUGCAUGAAGUGUUUUCUUCCACACUGCUAAACGAAAACUAUGGUAAGAUAAAAUCCCUUUUUGGAAAAAGCAAACAAACAGAUUUCAUGGAGAUCUGGCUCAUGUUGAGAAAAGAAAGACUUUAAUCUGUGAACGACAAGAGUGAGGGGAAAAUCUUCCGAUCUGUGAAUGUUCCACUAAAAUGAAUGUUUGAGAAAAAAAAAGAGCCAAGGAGUCUCUAUUUUUAGCCUUUGCUCUAUUUUGACUUCAAAGAAAAGCUUUGCCCUGCUGCUCAACUCAUCUAUUGCCUUCAAAUGUCCCCGUUUAUGUUGAACCCAUUUAUGUGUGUUAAAUCCUCAUGUUGUUUCAAAUGUGAACGACUUCCUUUUGUCCGUAAAACACAAAAGGAGAAAUAGAAUAUUCAAGCUGCUCUUCUGAAUACAAUGAAAGGGAAAUAGUAAUUAUUCGCUGAAAAUACAGUAGCUCUUGUAAAUAGCAUAUUCAAAUUUUUUCAAUGCAACCGUUUACAACACACAGGCCACAAACAAUGCCAUUGGGCACCACAAAGUCAAUCCUCGCCAUUUUUCAAAUCUAAAAGCACACAAGUCAUCUAAAAGAAUGCAAUUUCAAAGCUUCAACAGAGGGGAAGAUUGUGUGAAAAUAAUGACUAAACAUUUUGAUCCGUUUUCUGAAACAAAGCUAUUCUAUGACUUCAGAAGACUUAUUGUAAAAUUGUAAACUAUUGUAAAAACCACUAUUUUUUGCAUUCUAAAAAUAUCUGCAAGUUUAGAAAAAAAGAAAU